GAUGAAGAACGUAGCGAAAUGCGAUACGUAGUGUGAAUUGCAGAAUUCAGUGAAUCAUCGAAUCUUUGAACGCACAUUGCGCCCGUCAGUAUUCUGGCGGGCAUGCCUGUUCGAGCGUCAUUACGCCCCUCAAGUCCCCUGUGGACUUGGUGUUGGGGAUCGGCGAGGCUGGUUUUCCAGCACAGCCGUCCCUUAAAUUAAUUGGCGGUCUCGCCGUGGCCCUCCUCUGCGCAGUAGUAAAACACUCGCAACAGGAGCCCGGCGCGGUCCACUGCCGUAAAACCCCCCAACUUUUUAUAGUUGACCUCGAAUCAGGUAGGACUACCCGCUGAACUUAAGCAUAUCAAUAAGCGGAGGA
rnacentral:misc_RNA from 1 species